rnacentral:lncRNA from 1 species
AUCUUUGUCUUUAAUGAAUAAUGCUUGAAAUGAUCAAAUAAAAUAUUAUAAAAUUAAAAAAAAAUAAAAUUAAAAAAAAGAAUGUACUGUAGUCAAAUGUAAGGUUUAUAGAAGGGAUCUGGGGUACUUUAAGAUUUUGCCAUGGAACCCUAAUGAGGUCAGAGAUAGAGAAUUUUGGAUUGUGUCUUAAAAGCAUCAGUUGAGAAACAGUCACCCGCUUCUGGGACAGAGGCUUGGAGUCCCAUUGUCCUUUGAUUCUCAAGACCAGGCUUGAAGAAAAUAUGAUCCCCAAAUACAGAACUCAAGAGAAUCACCAAAAGGUCUUUCUCUGGAUGUGGAUAAGUGUUCUUUCUCACAAAUCCCUUGGGAUUUUCCUGGAUCAUUGCAUUGCUGUUAGUAGAGAAGUACAUUACUUUCAAUUUUGCCACAGUGUAUCAGUCUCUGUGUAUGAUGUUCUUCUGGUUCUGCUCCUUUCACUCUGUAUCAAUUUCUGGUGGUUAUUUUAGUUUACAUGGAAUUCCUCCAGUUCAUUAUUCCUUUAAGCAAAACAGUAUUCCAUCACCAACAGAUACAACAAUUUGUUCAGUCAUUCCCUAAUUAAAAGGCAUGCCCUCAUUUUCCAAUUUUUUUUGCCACCACAAAAAGCACAGCUAUGAAUAUUCUUGUACAAGUCUUUUUCCUUAUUAUUUCUUUGGGGUAUAAACCCAGCAGUGCUAUGGCUGGAUCAAAAGGUAGGCAGUCUUUCAGUGCCCUUUGGGCAUAGUUCCAAAUUGCCCUCCAGAAUGAUUGGAUCAAUUCACAACUACACCAGCAAUACGGUAGUGUCCCAAUUUUGCCACAUCCCCUCCAAUAUUUAUUAGUUUACAUUGCUGUCAUUUUAGCCAAUCUGCUAGGUGUCAGGAAGUACCUCAGGGCUGUUUUUAUUUGAAUUUCUUUAAUUACAAGAGAUUUAGAACACUUUUUAUGUAGUUAUUUAUUGUUUUGAUUUCUUUAUCUGAAAAUUGCCUACUAAUUCCCUUGCCCAUUUAUCAACUGGGGAAUGGAUUGAUUUAUUGUACAAUUGAUUUAGCUCCUUAUAAAUUUGAGUAAUUAGACCUUUGUCAAAGUUUUUUUGUUAUAAAGAUUUUUCCCAUUUUGUUGUUCCCUUCUAAUUCUGGUUGAAUUGGUUUUGUUUGUACAAAAACUUUUUACUUUAAUGUAAUCAAAAUUAUACAUUUAAUAUU